AAAGUCUGACCGAGCAACGCCGCGUGAGUGAAGAAGGUUUUCGGAUCGUAAAGCUCUGUUGUAAGUCAAGAACGUGUGUGAGAGUGGAAAGUUCACACAGUGACGGUAGCUUACCAGAAAGGGGCGGCUAACUACGUGCCAGCAGCCGCGGUAAUACGUAGGUCCCGAGCGUUGUCCGGAUUUAUUGGGCGUAAAGGGAGCGCAGGCGGUCAGGAAAGUCUGGAGUAAAAGGCUAUGGCUCAACCAUAGUGUGCUCUGGAAACUGUCUGACUUGAGUGCAGAAGGGGAGAGUGGAAUUCCAUGUGUAGCGGUGAAAUGCGUAGAUAUAUGGAGGAACACCAGUGGCGAAAGCGGCUCUCUGGUCUGUCACUGACGCUGAGGCUCGAAAGCGUGGGUAGCGAACAGGAUUAGAUACCCUGGUAGUCCACGCCGUAGACGAUGAGUGCUAGGUGUUAGGCCCUUUCCGGGGCUUAGUGCCGGAGCUAACGCAAUAAGCACUCCGCCUGGGGAGUACGACCGCAAGGUUGAAACUCAAAGGAAUUGACGGGGGCCCGCACAAGCGGUGGAGCAUGUGGUUUAAUUCGAAGCAACGCGAAGAACCUUACCAGGUCUUGACAUCCCGAUGCUAUUCUUAGAGAUAGGAAGU
rnacentral:rRNA from 1 species